rnacentral:other from 1 species
UCCUGAAGUGUACGUUUUUUGCUAGUCAUUUUUGACCCAACAUUAUUGUCGUAGGGAGCUUCUAUUCUGCUCCGGAUGAAAAGCCCUCUCGGGGGACUUCAAAACGAACAGAUAGGGCACCCACCUGCUGAGUGCGGGUUCAAAACGAUACCAAAAGGACGGCACAGUCGGGAU